rnacentral:rRNA from 1 species
GACGAACGCUGGCGGCGUGCUUAACACAUGCAAGUCGAACGGAAAGGCCCUGCUUUUGUGGGGUGCUCGAGUGGCGAACGGGUGAGUAACACGUGAGUAACCUGCCCUUGACUUUGGGAUAACUUCAGGAAACUGGGGCUAAUACCGGAUAGGAGCUCCUGCUGCAUGGUGGGGGUUGGAAAGUUUCGGCGGUUGGGGAUGGACUCGCGGCUUAUCAGCUUGUUGGUGGGGUAGUGGCUUACCAAGGCUUUGACGGGUAGCCGGCCUGAGAGGGUGACCGGGGACAUGAGGACUGAGAUAGGGCCCAGACUCGUACGGGAGGCAGCAGGGGGGAAUAUUGCACAGUGGGCGGGAGCCUGAUGAAGCGACGCCGCGGGCGGGAUGACGGCCUUCGGGGUGUAAACCGCUUUCGCCUGUGACGAAGCGUGAGUGACGGUAAUGGGUGAAGAAGCACCGGCUAACUACGUG